ensembl:lncRNA
GUUAGUUUCUCAGCAUAGUCCCUGACCACAAAUACUUUUGAGUGGAACAUCUGUUUCUAAUGCGCUCUCCAGAAAUGUUACUUUCUGCAAUAUUCCACUCCUCUCCCAAACGAUAUUUUUCCACUUAUGUUUGCCCAGCAUAGCUUGAAAGCAGAUCAAUAUCUGAAGCAACAAAGAACCCAACUGAGAACAAAGACUUAGAAAGACACGCAAGUGAUUUCCCAGGGCUCCAGGUGGCUGCAGGAGGGUGUGUUGUUUUGAAACUUCUGAGUCUUCUGGCUGGGAUCAAAGAUGGAGAAGGCUGAAAAUGAUGACUAAUGGAGAUACUGACUUUUUAUUCUUUUAACUGAGUUGAGACUGAUGAAGUGCAAUGGCUGUUGCUGUGCUGUCCAUGAUAGCAACUUGCGCUACAGAGAUAUCCCUUGCUGCAUAGACCUUAGGAUCAAAACUCCGGAGAAUGGGCAUACAGUCUUCAAGCUGAGUCGUGGGGAAGAGGAGCUGCAGGAAGUACGCCUCUCCAUGCCCUCCCAGACGGAUGAAAACUUUCAUGAAACAUCCACUGCAAAUGAGGGUUGGCCUUCUACAGAAAGAGUUCCCUCCUGUUCCAAAAGUAGGAGAGAGAAAGGGAAAAGGAGCUGUGAACAGGAGUUGAAGAUGGGUGAUCACAUGAGAAUGAACGUCCUUGAAAGGUCACAGCAAAUACUUAAACUGAAUAUUUAUUUAGGUUUUUAAAUUAUUAUUUUCCCAAGGUGUUAGGAUGAGGAGACUUGAUUAGCUUUGUUGCUUUCUAAUAGCAGUAAGAAAUGCUUUACAACAGAGCAAGCACAUGGAAAUACCCUUCUUGCUAUGGAAACUGCAUGGUGAUUUACAUCAGUUUAAGGAUCCUUGCCUCUGCAAGCUCUUUGAUUACCAAACAGAAAUAAGAAGGUUUUCUGGUUGUCUCGAAUAGGAAUGUUUUUUAUACACAACAUGUUGUUUCAGAUGCUUCUCUUCCCCAGGAUUUCUAGAUAGCC